AGGUUCAACCUAGACCAGGUGAUUUUGUCUCUAGCCUUAGUUUCAGUCCUAAUGUAAAUCAUAUGUUGGCCAGCUGGGAUAAUCAGGUUAGGUGCUGCGAGAUUAUGGAAGGUAGCAGUCAGACAAAGACAGUCAUCUCUCAAUAGUAACAGGUAUGUGUAUAUAUUGUUUAUCAACUGGCUUAAAACCCGUAUGCAAAAUUGGAAAAACACGAUUAUUGCUAACAUAGAAUUUGCGAUGCCUUGGGUUCUGUGUUCUACUCUGAAGGAUGAUAGUUUCACGAUGUUUACUGGAGGACAUGAUAAAAUUUAUCCUUUAUUGAAUGUUGCUCGUAACGUCUGGUGGCCAUCCUAUGCAUUCAUCAUUUAUGAUCCUAAUACCUAAACAAUCCCUCAGUCAACACAAUAGAAGUCCCACUGUAUGAUUCAAAUAUGAUAAAGUUCCAUUUCAUUUUAAGCUUCACUGGUUGGUUCUUCUUCCUCUCUUGAAACCGUUCAUGAAUUUGGAUUCUUCUUGCCGUUUAUCUGGGUGAGAUCAAUAGAGGGAAGGUCAGGCAUACACCAUCUGGACAAUGCACUGCAAAGUUCACAUUCAAAUGUUACAGGGACGGGCUGAGAUAUAUCUGUGAACUCGUUGAUUUUCCAUCCAGUAAGUAUAUUUUUCAUACUAUCUAUACCUAGUUAGUUUGGUUUUAAUUUUCAUGGACUAAAUGACUGUUAUGGUAAUGGGAUAUUCCAUUGUUUCUGCUUGUGUCAUUUUUGUUGGCACGUAUUCAUGCGGUUGCCUGAUCUAAUAGUUUAUCCACCUAUAGAAGGUUCUGUGUCAUUUUAAAGUUUAAUGGGUUAUUUGCCGGUAUUGUUGUUUUUGAGAAAACCUAAAUGAUUCGAUCAAAGUCGCUUGUAUUUAAGCCUCAACAUCUUUCAUAUGAAGGUAGUCUGGCUAUGUACUGAUAGUUUGAUUAUGAUUUGACCAUUGUAUUGCAUAUAGAUAUGAUUGUGUUUUGUACAUAAUAUUAAGCAGCUGGUUCAAGAAUAAUCUUCCAUUUUUUAAUUGUCAUUGUUGACAUUCCAUAUUGUGUAAAUUAACAUGGAAAUGAUGGGGCUUGGGCAGCUUGGACGUUUUAUGGAGGAUUCUGCAUCCACUACUGAAGAAAAAGAUGAGGCUGAACUGAGGUGACGGGAGGAUUCUGCAUCCACCGCUGAAGAAACAGAUAAGGUGGACUGAGGUAAAUCAUACUUUUGCAUCCGCUUGCUCUUAUGGCACAUUCAAUUUUUGGAUAAGGACAAUAUUCAGAGACUGAAGGUAUGCACACCUACAUGCUCUCUUUCUUUUGUUCUUGUCUCCUCAACACACUAUUUGGUUCACUUAAACAAUCUUCAGCAUCACACAUGCUUAAUUUCUGGUAGUGGACAUGGAAAAAAAGCAAACAUUGUAUUUAUUAAUAAUAUUAUAUUAUGUAACAUAUAAGAAAAUUCAUUACACUGAAAUUGAUAUAUAAUAAGUUCAGGGUAUGCAUUUGAAUUACCUUGAAUUCACUCAGGAUAAUCAUAUCUUAAAUUUACUUUCCGGAGAAGUUCUCUACCUGAGGGCGAACCUUGACAUAGCAUUAUAGUUGCUGCCUUGUGACUUGGAGGUCACAAGUUUGAAUCUCAGAAAUAGCCUCUCCGCAUACGAGGUAAGGCUGCGUACAUUUGACCCUUCCCAGAGCCUACAAUGGUGGGAGCCUCGUGCAUUGCCCUUAGAUAGUUUUCUACCUUUUUAAGAUGCAGUUCGGGUUGAAGUUAAUUGGUGUUCUCUAGUAAUUACCAAAAGCUAGCAUAAUGUCAUUUGUAAUUAAUCCACUGGAUGAAUGGGAACAUGCUGUUGAUUCUACUAAUGAAGUUUCUUUUUUUUUCCAUAAAAAAGCAUCCUCUUCUAGAAAUUUGGUUGGUUUUCUGUCCGACUCAAAUAGAAACGGAUGGAGUCGUUUCAUGAGGCCAUAGAUCCUGUUGGAUCACUGGAAAUCAUGGACCUGAAGGAGAAAAGUGCUUGUUGAUCUGUGACAUUGUUGUGAUAACAAGGAGCUGGCAUGUCGGGUUGAGAGAAGAAUAGUGUUGCAAACACUGAAAAAACUAUUAACAGAUGUGCCAUUGGAAUGAUAUUAUAUACACAACUUUUAAUUUGGAAAUGCUUGAGAGACGCAAUUUCAAAAGCUGAAACAAUUAACUAUAUAUACAUGAUCCAUCGCGAUAUAUGAUGCAGGUAAUUGAGUUUGUUGCCGGAUGAUGUUGACAUAAUUAUUACAAUGUUUAUCCUUUCGACCAUUUUGAUGUAUUGUACUGAAUUUAUUCUGGCUAUAUCAUGAGGUCAGCUGUGAUUUGAGUAAACGUGCUGAAAAUCAUAACCAAACAUACAUCUAUCUUCACAGCCCACAGGAGGAUGAGGUCAAAGGAAAACCAUGUCUUGCAAUUUGUAGAAAGUUCUGUGCUCUAGCUAUACUUGGAAGGAUGAUGGUUCCGUUGUGUUUACUAGAGGAUGUGAUAAGAUCAUGAAAAUGUGGCCCUUGACGUCUGGUGUCACUUCACGCAAGUCACCGCACAUGAUGCACCUGAUGAUAGAAGUUGCUUGGAUUGACCUGUUGAAUUGUCUAGUGAUGGUGAUCUGUCAUAAGACAUUGAUGAGGUUCAAUGUAGACCCAAUGAGUCUGUCCCCAGCCUUAGUUUCAGUCCUAAGGCAAUUUACUUUGUGGUCACUUAGUAGGAUAAUCAACUUUGUUCUACUAAGAGGUUAGGUGCUGGGAGAUUAUGGCAGGGAGCGUUCUGUCAAGGGCAGCUAUGUCCCAUUAUCAACCGGUUCUAUGCUCUUCUCAGAAGGAUGAUGAGUCCACAGUUCUUACUGUAAGAUGUGAUAAUAUUGCCAAAAUGUUGCCCUUAGUGUCUGGUGGCCAACCAAUGCAAGAUGUUGCACAUUAUGCACCUGUCAAAGAAGUUACUUGGACUGAACAGUUGAAUUGCAUAGUGCAACCUGGACCUAUUGACUUUUAUAUCUUGAGUGAUCUGCAGGUUAGGUGCUAAGAGAUUAUGGCAGGUAGAAGUCAGGCAAAGGCAGCCAUAUCCCAAGAUGUAUGCUUUAUGCUUAUAUGUUAAGCAAUUGUUUCAAAACAUUUCAUGCAACAAUCGGAAAAAGAAUCAUUAUUUGUCAACAUUUCAGUUGGCGUGCUUUAUGUUUUUUGCCCUACUUGGAAGGGUGAUGGUUCCAUAGUGUUUAGUAGAGGAUAUGGUAAAGAUUGUCAAAAUGUGACCCUUGACAUCUGGUGGCCAAUCUAUGUGAGUUGCUGUGCAUGAUGCACCUGGCAACGAAGUUGCUUGGAUUGCACAGUUGAAUUGCCUAGUCACUGGGAGCUGGCAUAAGACAAU